rnacentral:rRNA from 1 species
UACGGGGGGUGCAAGCGUUAUUCGGAAUUAUUGGGCGUAAAGGGCGCGUAGGCGGUCUCUUAAGUCAGAUGUGAAAGCCCGGGGCUUAACCCCGGAAGUGCAUUUGAAACUAAGGGACUUGAGUAUGGGAGAGGGAAGUGGAAUUCCUGGUGUAGAGGUGAAAUUCGUAGAUAUCAGGAGGAACACCGGUGGCGAAGGCGACUUCCUGGACCAAUACUGACGCUGAGGCGCGAAGGCGUGGGGAGCAAACAGG